rnacentral:rRNA from 1 species
ACGUAGGGUGCGAGCGUUAAUCGGAAUUACUGGGCGUAAAGCGCACGUAGGCGGAUAUUUAAGUCAGGGGUGAAAUCCCGGGGCUCAACCCCGGAACUGCCUUUGAUACUGGGUAUCUCGAGUCCGAGAGAGGUGAGUGGAAUUCCGAGUGUAGAGGUGAAAUUCGUAGAUAUUCGGAGGAACACCAGUGGCGAAGGCGGCUCACUGGCUCGGUACUGACGCUGAGGUGCGAAAGCGUGGGGAGCAAACAGGA